GGGAUAUUAGUUAAAUAAUAACAUCACCUUGUCAAGGUGAAAUUAUGGGCUAAAUCCCCGUAUAUCCCU
rnacentral:tRNA from 1 species